CCUUCACAGGGCGGAAGGUGAAAUUCCGUGUGCUUAGCAGAGGACAAUUCAAACGGGUGUCCAGCAGAGAUGGUCAGGACCUCAGCCCGCAGCUAUGAGAAGGGGUCCUCCGGGUGGAGGGAAGAGUCUAGCCCCGCAGGCGAGGCGGGGAAGCAGAGGCGUGCUUCCAAGACGUCCAGAGGCGCGAUCAGGAUAUAUAUGAUCACAUUUUAACUUAGUCUGCAACAUGUACUGAAUAAAAAGAAGAUAGUGCAAAGCAAUUCUCCAACACAGUAAAAGAGGCUGUGAAAAUUGGGGCAGGAAAAGGUUUAUUUCAUGUGGCUGGUCUCAGAACCUGGUUUUCAUAAUAUUUCGAAAAAAAUUUUAAAGAAUCCUGAAUUUUCUCUUUAGUGAUGCUACACAUACUUACUUUGGACAUCAG
rnacentral:lncRNA from 1 species